GGGGGCGUAGCUCUAACGGGAGAGCGCCUGGUUUGCACCCAGGAGGGUGUCGGUUCGAAUCCGAUCGCCUCCACCA
rnacentral:tRNA from 1 species